AACGAACGCUGGCGGCAUGCCUAACACAUGCAAGUCGAGCGGUAAGGCCCCUUCGGGGGUACACGAGCGGCGGACGGCUGAGUAACGCGUGGGAACAUGCCCCAAAGUGAGGGAUAAGCUCCAGAAAUGGAGUCUAAUACCGCAUAUGAUCUUCGGAUUAAAGGAUUUAUCCGCUUUGGGAGUGGCCUGCGUACGAUUAGAUAGUUGGUGAGGUAAUGGCUUACCAAGUCUACGAUCGUUAACUGGUCUGAGAGGAUGAUCAGUCAGACUGGAACUGAGACACGGUCCAGACUCCUACGGGAGGCAGCAGUGAGGAAUCUUCCACAAUGGGCGAAAGCCUGAUGGAGCAACGCCGCGUGCAGGAUGAAGGCCUUCGGUCGUAAACUGCUUUAUAAGUGAAGAAUAUGACGGUAACUUAUUGAAUAAGACACCGGCUAACUACGUGCCAGCAGCCGCGGUAAU
rnacentral:rRNA from 1 species